rnacentral:rRNA from 1 species
GACGAACGCUGGCGGCGUGCUUAACACAUGCAAGUCAAGGGGGCCCAGCAAUGGGCAACCGGCGAACGGGUGCGUAACACGUGAGCAACCUACCGAACUGUGGGGGAUAGCCGGCCUAACGGCCGAGUAAUACCGCAUACGCUCUCAGGGAGGCAUUUCUUUGAGAGGAAACCUACGGGACAGAUCGAGGGGCUCGCGGCCUAUCAGCUAGUUGGCGAGGUAACGGCUCACCAAGGCAACGACGGGUAGCUGGUCUGAGAGGACGAUCAGCCACACUGGGACUGAGACACGGCCCAGACUCCUACGGGAGGCAGCAGUGGGGAA